UCCAACAAUAGUGAAAGUAAUCACAACAUGAAGUUUUUGAGAAUUAUGUUAUUUUUAUUCUCACUUGUCGCUGCAAAUUUUGCAACUGCUCUUGAACAUCUAGAGUCAGACGAGUCUCAUUUCUCAAGAAAGAAACCACCACCACCAGUUUUUAUACCACCCUAUUACAGCGAAUGGGAUCAAUGGAAUCGUGCACCUUAUUCUUAAACAUUUUACAAGAAAAGAAAUAUUGUAAAGGCCAAAAAAUAAAGCAAUUUUAAAACU